GAUUAAGUUAUUAAGGGCGCACGGUGGAUGCCUUGGCACUAGAAGCCGAUGAAGGACGUUACUAACGACGAUAUGCUUUGGGGAGCUGUAAGUAAGCUUUGAUCCAGAGAUUUCCGAAUGGGGAAACCCAGCAUGAGUUAUGUCAUGUUAUCGAUAUGUGAAUACAUAGCAUAUCAGAAGGCACACCCGGAGAACUGAAACAUCUUAGUACCCGGAGGAAGAGAAAGAAAAUUCGAUUCCCUUAGUAGCGGCGAGCGAAACGGGAAGAGCCCAAACCAACAAGCUUGCUUGUUGGGGUUGUAGGACACUCUAUACGGAGUUACAAAGGACGACAUUAGACGAAUCAUCUGGAAAGAUGAAUCAAAGAAGGUAAUAAUCCUGUAGUCGAAAAUGUUGUCUCUCUUGAGUGGAUCCUGAGUACGACGGAGCACGUGAAAUUCCGUCGGAAUCUGGGAGGACCAUCUCCUAAGGCUAAAUACUCUCUAGUGACCGAUAGUGAACCAGUACCGUGAGGGAAAGGUGAAAAGCACCCCGGAAGGGGAGUGAAAUAGAACCUGAAACCGUGUGCUUACAAGUAGUCAGAGCCCGUUAAUGGGUGAUGGCGUGCCUUUUGUAGAAUGAACCGGCGAGUUACGAUUUGAUGCAAGGUUAAGCAGUAAAUGUGGAGCCGUAGCGAAAGCGAGUCUGAAUAGGGCGUUUAGUAUUUGGUCGUAGACCCGAAACCAGGUGAUCUACCCUUGGUCAGGUUGAAGUUCAGGUAACACUGAAUGGAGGACCGAACCGACUUACGUUGAAAAGUGAGCGGAUGAACUGAGGGUAGCGGAGAAAUUCCAAUCGAACCUGGAGAUAGCUGGUUCUCUCCGAAAUAGCUUUAGGGCUAGCCUCAAGUGAUGAUUAUUGGAGGUAGAGCACUGUUUGGACGAGGGGCCCCUCUCGGGUUACCGAAUUCAGACAAACUCCGAAUGCCAAUUAAUUUAACUUGGGAGUCAGAACAUGGGUGAUAAGGUCCGUGUUCGAAAGGGAAACAGCCCAGACCACCAGCUAAGGUCCCAAAAUAUAUGUUAAGUGGAAAAGGAUGUGGCGUUGCCCAGACAACUAGGAUGUUGGCUUAGAAGCAGCCAUCAUUUAAAGAGUGCGUAAUAGCUCACUAGUCGAGUGACACUGCGCCGAAAAUGUACCGGGGCUAAACAUAUUACCGAAGCUGUGGAUUGUCCUUUGGACAAUGGUAGGAGAGCGUUCUAAGGGCGUUGAAGCAUGAUCGUAAGGACAUGUGGAGCGCUUAGAAGUGAGAAUGCCGGUGUGAGUAGCGAAAGACGGGUGAGAAUCCCGUCCACCGAUUGACUAAGGUUUCCAGAGGAAGGCUCGUCCGCUCUGGGUUAGUCGGGUCCUAAGCUGAGGCCGACAGGCGUAGGCGAUGGAUAACAGGUUGAUAUUCCUGUACCACCUAUAAUCCUUUUAAUCGAUGGGGGGACGCAGUAGGAUAGGCGAAGCGUGCGAUUGGAUUGCACGUCUAAGCAGUAAGGCUGAGUAUUAGGCAAAUCCGGUACUCGUUAAGGCUGAGCUGUGAUGGGGAGAAGACAUUGUGUCUUCGAGUCGUUGAUUUCACACUGCCGAGAAAAGCCUCUAGAUAGAAAAUAGGUGCCCGUACCGCAAACCGACACAGGUAGUCAAGAUGAGAAUUCUAAGGUGAGCGAGCGAACUCUCGUUAAGGAACUCGGCAAAAUGACCCCGUAACUUCGGGAGAAGGGGUGCUCUUUAGGGUUAACGCCCAGAAGAGCCGCAGUGAAUAGGCCCAAGCGACUGUUUAUCAAAAACACAGGUCUCUGCUAAACCGUAAGGUGAUGUAUAGGGGCUGACGCCUGCCCGGUGCUGGAAGGUUAAGAGGAGUGGUUAGCUUCUGCGAAGCUACGAAUCGAAGCCCCAGUAAACGGCGGCCGUAACUAUAACGGUCCUAAGGUAGCGAAAUUCCUUGUCGGGUAAGUUCCGACCCGCACGAAAGGCGUAACGAUUUGGGCACUGUCUCAACGAGAGACUCGGUGAAAUCAUAGUACCUGUGAAGAUGCAGGUUACCCGCGACAGGACGGAAAGACCCCGUGGAGCUUUACUGUAGCCUGAUAUUGAAAUUCGGCACAGCUUGUACAGGAUAGGUAGGAGCCUUUGAAACGUGAGCGCUAGCUUACGUGGAGGCGCUGGUGGGAUACUACCCUAGCUGUGUUGGCUUUCUAACCCGCACCACUUAUCGUGGUGGGAGACAGUGUCAGGCGGGCAGUUUGACUGGGGCGGUCGCCUCCUAAAAGGUAACGGAGGCGCUCAAAGGUUCCCUCAGAAUGGUUGGAAAUCAUUCAUAGAGUGUAAAGGCAUAAGGGAGCUUGACUGCGAGACCUACAAGUCGAGCAGGGUCGAAAGACGGACUUAGUGAUCCGGUGGUUCCGCAUGGAAGGGCCAUCGCUCAACGGAUAAAAGCUACCCCGGGGAUAACAGGCUUAUCUCCCCCAAGAGUUCACAUCGACGGGGAGGUUUGGCACCUCGAUGUCGGCUCAUCGCAUCCUGGGGCUGUAGUCGGUCCCAAGGGUUGGGCUGUUCGCCCAUUAAAGCGGUACGCGAGCUGGGUUCAGAACGUCGUGAGACAGUUCGGUCCCUAUCCGUCGUGGGCGUAGGAAAUUUGAGAGGAGCUGUCCUUAGUACGAGAGGACCGGGAUGGACAUACCUCUGGUGUACCAGUUGUCGUGCCAACGGCAUAGCUGGGUAGCUAUGUGUGGACGGGAUAAGUGCUGAAAGCAUCUAAGCAUGAAGCCCCCCUCAAGAUGAGAUUUCCCAACUUCGGUUAUAAGAUCCCUCAAAGAUGAUGAGGUUAAUAGGUUCGAGGUGGAAGCAUGGUGACAUGUGGAGCUGACGAAUACUAAUCGAUCGAAGACUUAAUCAA
rnacentral:rRNA from 1 species